GUCCACACCUUUGGGAAGCCCUGGACCUGCUGGGGUUGGACCCCAGCAGUCGAGGGGCGGGAAGAAACCCUGGACAGUGGCUUGGAUAAGCGGAUGCCCACAGAAAAAGCAGAGUACAGGUUCUGUGACUGAGAGUCACACUUGGUGGAGAUUACACAAGUAUUGUAUGACAAUGCCAGGCACUGGUACAGAGCUCUCCAUGUAUUGUCUUGGUAUCCCCUGAGCCACUGUGUCUCAUUCACAGUAAGUGUGUAAUAAACAUUUGCAGUAUUUUCUUUA